GAAAUAGGUUGUGGUUUUGAGAACAGUAGCAAAAAAAUCUUGGCAGGUUGAGGGAAAUAAUAACUGCAAACAUGCAAAUGCUGAAGUGAAUAUUUAAGGUCAGGCAAAUGUAAUUCAUGUGCAAACAUGGCAGCGCUGAAUAUAAUAACUGAGCCUGAUGUGCAACAGAAACAUCCAACAACACAAACGUCCUCGAUGGUUGUUGAACAAGAACCAGAAAUGGAUUCAUUUGUUAACGAGCACCUCCUCAACAAGGAAGAUUUAGAUUCAAUUCUCAGAGAGGGCUCAAUUGAUGGCAUCUUGCAGUGGGCUCUGCAAAAUAUACCCCGGCCCUUGGCUGAGAGCCCCAGCCUCAUACAUUAAUGGAGGCCUUCUCCGUCGAGAAGCUGACCUGAUCCGAGCAGAAAGGUCCACCUAUAUUGAAAAAGAAAAAAACAAACAUGUUUCAAAUGGUGUGGCAAAUGACUGCAGCUCUUGAUUAAAAACAAACCAUGAUUGAAUUGUAUUUAGAAUGUAUUAUCCGCCCUAUACACAGUCCUUCAAAGGGAAGUUGCAUUGAGCUGAUAUCAAACAGCUGAUACACUGCCUAACAAUUCUAGAAUAGUUUGAUCAGAGAAACCCUCGGAAUCCACAGAUGUAUUCAGUUAUAUCAUUAAUCUUUGCUUAUUUAACAUUGUUUUACCUUGUUUAUCUUAUUUUGUUACUGUGAAAAAUCUCUCCUUAUUAAUGUAGUAUUGAUUUUAACAUAGAAAACCCAUUGCAAAGGAAAUGAGACACUGAGGCUUUGUUUCCUUAAUCAUGUCCUAUAAACUCAGGGAGGAGCCUGCGCCGCAUUGACCUUGCCGUGAACCUCACUCGGGUGGUGAUGGGACCAAAGUCCCAGUGAAAAUGAUGGGUCUGCAUUUGCACCAGCAAGAGCGAUGAGUAAUGUUGCAAGGAUGUCAUCUUGUAUAUGGCAAGAAGAUAGAACUCAAAGCUCAGUGAGGAUGUUUAUUGUUGAGCUCAGACUGAACAAAUAGCUAGCAAGACAAAUUGGAAGAUUAAGGAUGGAAGAAUACAUAGAUGAAAGGCUGCACAAUAUUGUUCAGGUUGGCAGGUCCAAGUUGUAUAACAACAUACAAUGGCAUAAUUUUAAAUUGACGAAUACAGUAAAAAUCCACCAUCCUGUUGUUGAAGUAUUCUGAUGUUUUAGCAUCAAAUUCACGGGCUUUUUUUUUUAUCCCAUAUUCCCUUAAAGCACUUUGCAGUCCUGAUUCUAAUGCUCCCCACAAACUCACCAAGUCCCCAUUUAGCACACUCCUUGUUAACUUACCAGAUUCAUUGGAAAACUUUGAAAAAUGUGAAUUAAAAGUGUGCUGAUGUAUUAUAUGAGUUGUAUCCAAUAAUAAAGAAAAUCUGAUAGUCCAGCAUCACCAGAGUCCUAACAGUUCUGGAUUAAUGGAGUUUUACUGCAAUGGCUUUAUGGGCUAUUUUAACAUUUAUGCAAAGGUUACAGCAAUUUGUGUCAUACUCAACUGAACACGUUUCUGGGAGCCAUAGAGUGAUACAGUGUGGAAACAAGCCCUUCGGCCCAACUUGCCCAAACUGGCCAACAUGUCCUAGCUACUCUAGUCCCACCUAACCGCGUUUGGUCCAUAUCCCUCCAAACAUGUCCUAUCCAUGUAUCUGUCUAACUGUUUCUUAAAUGUUGGGAUAGUCCCUGCCUCAACUCCCUCCUCUGGCAACUUGUUCCAUACACCCACCACCCUUCGUGUGAAAAAGUUACUUCACCUUAAACCUAUGUACUUUGUUCUUCGAUUCACCUACUAUGGGUACAUCUGGGUACCCGAUCUAUUUCUCUCAUGAUUUUAUACGUCUUUUUCUUUCCAUCUCGCAUCUCUCCAUAAAAGCAGUUCUCUUAGAACAAAGCUUUGAAGCAUGUUAUACAUCUCAAGGCCAGUGAGGAUGCUCUGAAGGAAGGACAGAAAGUUGACCAAGUACCGCAAACAGAUCUUUGCCAUGGAAUACCGGCAGACUUAUUUCAGGAAUAAUUUAUUCUGCAUGUCAAUUCUUCAUAAAGAGGUAUUAUAUUAUAACAGGCUGCAAUAAAUAAUCAUUAAUCAUUGCAAUAAUGUUUUAAUAAUGAUUGUAUUGUGCAUUACCAGCAAUAAAUAAAUCUAGGUUUGUUUAGAGAUGAUAAAAUUAUCUUGUUUAAAGAGUAUUUAGCAACUAUCCUGCAAUUACAGAUAUUCCCACAUAA